UAGGGAAUAUUGGACAAUGGGUGAGAGCCUGAUCCAGCCAUGCCGCGUGCAGGAAGAAGGCGUUAUGCGUUGUAAACUGCUUUUUGCCAGGGGAUAAAAAGACCGUGCGCGGUUAAUUGAAGGUACCUGGUGAAUAAGCCACGGCUAACUACGUGCCAGCAGCCGCGGUAAUACGUAGGUGGCAAGCGUUGUCCGGAUUUAUUGGGUUUAAAGGGUGCGUAGGUGGCCCUGUAAGUCAGUGGUGAAAUAUCUCAGCUUAACUGAGAGGGUGCCAUUGAUACUGCAGGGCUUGAGUACAGAUGAGGUAGGCGGAAUUGACGGUGUAGCGGUGAAAUGCAUAGAUAUCGUCAAGAACACCGAUAGCGAAGGCAGCUUACCAAGCUGUAACUGACACUGAGGCACGAAAGUGUGGGGGAUCAAACAGGAUUAGAUACCCCAGUAGUCCCUGAGCGGGCUGGCAAGGCGCAU
rnacentral:rRNA from 1 species